UUGACCUCGGAUCAGGUAGGGAUACCCGCUGAACUUAAGCAUAUCAAUAAGGCGGAGGAAAAAAAAAAACACGGCGGUUUUUUAUUUUAGUAGUCUUAAUUUCAAGAAGGAAUUAUUAUCUUUAGGAA
rnacentral:rRNA from 1 species